rnacentral:rRNA from 1 species
GCCCGGAGUUUCGGAUUUUGAGUACCGGAUUCAAGUCUUCCGGGCGCAGCAGGCUGCGAAAACUUACAAAUUCGGAAACCGGUUAAGGGAGCCGGAGUGCCUAUAUAUAGCAGCCUGUCCAGGUGUUUAAAAAACUCUGAGAAGGCUGAGCAAGACCGGUGCUAGCCCACGCGUUAAUACGGCGGCUCGAGUGGUGGCACUUUUUAUUGGGCUUAAAGCGAUUCGUAGCUUGGGUUGAUCAGCUCUCAUGGUCAUUCUGACAGAUUAGUCUUCAGGCAUAUAUAGAGAUGACUGCAAUCUGGAACUCGAGAGAGUGAGGAGUAGUUCGGAGGUAUGAGGGUAUGCUGUAAUCCUUGAGGGACCGCUGGUGACGAAGGCGCCUCACCAGAGCGGUUUCGACAAUGAGGGACUAUAGCUGGGGGAGCAACUGGAUUAGAUACCCGGGUAGUCCCAGCCGUAAGCGAUGCGCGUUAGGUGUAUCGGUGACCUCGAGUCACCGAGGUACCGAAGGGAAACUGUGAAACGUGCCGCCUGGGAAGUACGGUCGCAAGGCUGAAACUUAAAGGAAUUGGCGGGGGAG